UGGGUGAAUAGAAAAUCAAAAUGUGGUAUGGCGAAAGCGAAUGUUAUAGCCAAUUUUGCCCCAAAUAGCCCCAACGCAGCAGGCGCAACAAAGAUGAAAAUAGUUGCACUCGAGCAAGCGUUCAUAAAUGACCGACCGACCGCCUAUAGUGCGUCGCGUUGUGAGUGUGUGAACGCAAAAUAUACAUCAUAAGAAACACAAAACAGGGUAAAAAAAAACGAGCAGCGCAUACAAGGAAAAUCGAUUAUGGCAAGAAAACCGCAGCAACCUGUCGACAAUUUAACAAAUGCAACGCUAUGUGGACAAUAUUUAAAGCUAAUACAACAUUAAAAACAAUGAGAAUGCCCACAACCAGUAAAAGAAAGAAUGUAUGAAGGUAUUCUGUUAUCGCCGAACCAACAAAAACCAAGAUGGCAGCGAAUAUGGAGUAUACGGCGAAUUGCAUAGAAGAAAGAAUGGCGGAAAUUGUGAGAUACACACGGAAUGGCAUACAUACAUACAAACAUAUGUAUACGCGGAACGAACUAUUUAGAAAAAAAGAAAUGUCAAGCUAUUUUGUUACAAUAACAAGAAACAGCGUAGAGCAAAUUUAACAGUGCAACAGUAGUUGGUAUGUUGUCAUAUGUUAUCAUUAGCAUUGAAUAACACACAAGCCGCCAGCAUACAUAUAUUAUUUCAUUUAUGUAUAUGUAAAUAUUCUACACUAGUUGUUGCUUCCGUUCUGCCAAUACAAGCAAUUUGCAACACCACCACCACUAAUUAUCUGCUUCGACAUAAAUUUGAUAUUUGACGGCGUUAUGCCGCGACUUGGUGUACUGACUUGACCACUGCGGUGGAUCCAUAGAUAAGUAAUGGCGCUGUGUUUUCCUGAUAAAUAAAAUAGCAGCGUUGUUUUAUAUCAAAAUGUCCUUACAACCGCGCAAGUAUUAAGAGGCGCCAACUUAAUGUAGGACUUCGUUUCACUUGUCGCCAAGGAGCACAAAUUUUAAUUUUCGAUCAGCUAUAGAUGUGUUAGUUUGAUUUUGAGAAAUACUGAAAAUGCAAAAAAUGAUAGAAUACGCUGACCUUUAUUUGUGCACAAAGUCAUUAUAAAAAAGCGUUCAACGGCCGAAGCACGGCUGUACUACCCUUUAUAUGUUCAUUUUUUUAGAAUAAAAGGGUAUAAAAAGAACUUUAACUUGGAUUUAUCGAUCAGUUGUAUGGUCAGCUAAUGCUACUGUGGUGCGAUUUGAACAAUUUGUUGAGAGAUUAUAAAGCAAUCUUGACCAAUAAUCUAAGUCAAAUGUUAAGAUACAUUGUCAAAAAAAAAAUAAAUAAAAUACUUCUCCACACAA
rnacentral:lncRNA from 1 species